UUUAAAAGGUAGCUCAGUCAGUAGAGCAGGAGACUCUUAAUCUUAGGGUCAUGGGUUCGAGCCCCACAUUGGGCAAAA
rnacentral:tRNA from 1 species